rnacentral:rRNA from 1 species
GACGAAGGAUGCAAGCGUUAUCCGGAUUCAUUGGGUUUAAAGGGAGCGUAGGUGGUCUUAUAAGUCAGUGGUGAAAUCUCGCAGCUUAACUGCGAAACUGCCAUUGAUACUGUAGGACUUGAGUAUAGUUGCUGUGGGCGGAAUAUGACAUGUAGUGGUGAAAUGCGUAGAUAUCUGGAAGAACACCAGUGGCGAAGGCGGUCAACUGGCCCAUAACUGACGCUCAGGCACGAAAGCGUGGGGAGCAAACAGG